UACAAAGAAAUUUAUAGCUGGGGCUAGGGA
rnacentral:piRNA from 1 species